UACGGAGGGGGCUAGCGUUGUUCGGAAUUACUGGGCGUAAAGCGCACGUAGGCGGCUUUGUAAGUUAGAGGUGAAAGCCCAGGGCUCAACCCUGGAAUUGCCUUUAAGACUGCAUCGCUUGAACAUCGGAGAGGUAAGUGGAAUUCCCGGUGUAGAGGUGAAAUGCGUAGAUAUCGGGAGGAACACCAGUGGCGAAGGCGACUACCUGGCCUGUUCUUGACGCUGAGGCGCGAAAGCUAGGGGAGCAAACGGG
rnacentral:rRNA from 1 species